GAGGGGACCGGCCGCGCUCGGUCUCCAUGGAGACGGCGGCCCGGCAGCCGGCCCCGGCCGCGUGCUCGCUCCAGCAGCCCGGAAGAGCCCAUUUACGGGAUUGUUUUUCGAGCACUUUAUUUUCCAAAGAGCCUUCGCAACGCUGAUGUCAUUUCUGCCCUCGCCAGUUUGGGCUCACGGUACCGAGCGGUUGGGAGAGCACACGCAGAUCACAUGCCUGGAGCUGCCGGGGCGACGCAUGCGUAAGGCCCAGGCCGGCUGACUGCUGAGUGGGAGUCCCCGGCCUUGCGGCCCCUACAUCGACAAGUUCUUGCUCUCAGUCCCAAUCCCGACUCUUCUGCCCGCCCGGCUCCCUCCCAGAUCCUGUUCCCCUGCCCUUCCCACUCGGGAAAUCCCUAUUUCAGUCCCGGCGAGCUGCACGGUGCAGGAGAGGGUAGAUGCCCUUCAUUUCGAAGAUGACUCAGUGGAUGCCGAGAACCCUCGAUGAGUGUCUCUGAGAGAGAAUUUCUUCCACAUCUGUACAGUCGGUCUGGUUAAAUGCUGCUGGUUUUCCAAUCAAUCAAUCCCCUCCACAUUUCCCAGUCUUUGGCCACAGGGAGUCUGGACCCUCUGAAGAGAAAAUGAGAUAACUGAAGAGAAAGGACUUUGGGAACUUGAAAGUUCUGCACCGAUACCAGGAAUGUUCUAGGACAUAACGUUGCCUUGCUUGUCUGGACUGUGAAUCUGAUGGAAUAUGCAAGGUCCCAUGACUGGAUGCCUGCUUUUCAGAGAGCUUCAGAUGCAAUUUCUAGCCUAAUUCCCCUGGAUUAAUUAAAUUGUUUCCCUGCCAGAAUUU